AGAGUUUGAUCCUGGCUCAGAUUGAACGCUGGCGGCAGGCUUAACACAUGCAAGUCGAGCGGGGAAGAGUAGCUUGCUACUUAACUUAGCGGCGGACGGGUGAGUAAUGCUUAGGAAUCUGCCUAUUAGUGGGGGACAACAGUUGGAAACGACUGCUAAUACCGCAUACGCCCUACGGGGGAAAGCAGGGGAUCUUCGGACCUUGCGCUAAUAGAUGAGCCUAAGUCGGAUUAGCUAGUUGGUGGGGUAAAGGCCUACCAAGGCGACGAUCUGUAGCGGGUCUGAGAGGAUGAUCCGCCACACUGGGACUGAGACACGGCCCAGACUCCUACGGGAGGCAGCAGUGGGGAAUAUUGGACAAUGGGGGGAACCCUGAUCCAGCCAUGCCGCGUGUGUGAAGAAGGCCUUUUGGUUGUAAAGCACUUUAAGCGAGGAGGAGGCUACUGGUAUUAAUACUACUGGAUAGUGGACGUUACUCGCAGAAUAAGCACCGGCUAACUCUGUGCCAGCAGCCGCGGUAAUACAGAGGGUGCAAGCGUUAAUCGGAUUUACUGGGCGUAAAGCGUGCGUAGGUGGCCAAUUAAGUCAAAUGUGAAAUCCCCGAGCUUAACUUGGGAAUUGCAUUCGAUACUGGUUGGCUAGAGUAUGGGAGAGGAUGGUAGAAUUCCAGGUGUAGCGGUGAAAUGCGUAGAGAUCUGGAGGAAUACCGAUGGCGAAGGCAGCCAUCUGGCCUAAUACUGACACUGAGGUACGAAAGCAUGGGGAGCAAACAGGAUUAGAUACCCUGGUAGUCCAUGCCGUAAACGAUGUCUACUAGCCGUUGGGGUCUUUGAGACUUUAGUGGCGCAGCUAACGCGAUAAGUAGACCGCCUGGGGAGUACGGUCGCAAGACUAAAACUCAAAUGAAUUGACGGGGGCCCGCACAAGCGGUGGAGCAUGUGGUUUAAUUCGAUGCAACGCGAAGAACCUUACCUGGUCUUGACAUAGUAAGAACUUUCCAGAGAUGGAUUGGUGCCUUCGGGAGCUUACAUACAGGUGCUGCAUGGCUGUCGUCAGCUCGUGUCGUGAGAUGUUGGGUUAAGUCCCGCAACGAGCGCAACCCUUUUCCUUAUUUGCCAAAUCACUAGUGCGGCCGCCUGCAGGUCGACCAUAUGGGAGAGCUCCCAACGCGUGAUGC
rnacentral:rRNA from 1 species